GAUGAACGCUAGCUACAGGCUUAACACAUGCAAGUCGAGGGACCGGCGCACGGGUGAGUAACACGUAUCCAACCUGCCCUUUGCUCGGGGAUAGCCUUUCGAAAGAAAUAUUAAUACCCGAUGUAAAGGAUGGGGAUGAGUUUCAUUAGGUUGUUGGGUAGGUAACGGCUCACCAAGCCUUCGAUGGAUAGGGGUUCUGAGAGGAAGGUCCCCGACAUUGGAACUGGGACAAGGUCCAAACGGCUACGGGAGGCAGCAGUGAGGAAUAUUGGGCAAUGGGCGUUAGCCGGAACCAGCCAAGUAGUGUGAAGGAUGAAGGGUUAUGGGUCGUAAACUGCUUUGAUAUAAGAAUAUGUAUUACAUGAAUAAGGAUCGGCUAACUCCGUGCAAGCAGCCGCGGUAAUU
rnacentral:rRNA from 1 species